CAAUGUCGUUGGAAACCUGUUUCUGCCAGCACCCAGACCUGUUCUUCCAGAGUUCCUGACCACGCCCGGCUUCUCGCUCUGGACCCCGCUUCACCCUUGGUGGACAGUCUCCAGACCCUUGACCCAGGACCAAACUCUGACCACGCCUCACGGUAACCUCCCCCCGGGACCAUCACAAAUAAUAAUUAUUAUUUUUAUUUAUUUAUACCCCGCCCAUCUGGCUGGGCUUCCACAGCCACUCUGGGCAGCUUCCCAAAAAAUAUUAAUAUACCGUAAUACAUCAAACAUUAAAAGCUUCCCUAAACAGGGCUGCCUUCAGAUGUCUUCUAAAAGUCUGGUAGUUGUCGUUCUCUUUGACAUCUGGUGGGAGGGCGUUCCACAGGGCGGGCGCCACUACCAAGAAGGCCCUCUGCCUGGUUCCCUGUAACUUGGCUUCUCGCAGUGAGGGAACUGCCAGAAGGCCCUCAGCGCUGAACCUCAGUGUCCAGGUAGAACGAUGGGGGUGGAGACGCUCCUUCAGAUAUACUGGACCGAGGCCUGAAGAGCAGGUUGGGUGGAGCAAUUUGCAAUGGCCAUUGUUUGAAUUGGACUCAGGUCAUACUUGGGGGCCCACUGUAUGAGACAGGAUGUUGAACUAGAUGAGGUUUUGGUCUAAAGCAGCAGGGCUAAUCUUAUAUUUUUGUUAUUUUUCGGGGGGGAAGCAUAUAGGUGGUGCUGUGGUCUAAACCACUGAGCCUCUUGCGCUUGCUGAUCAGAAGGUCAGCGGUUCAAAUCCCCGCGAUGGGGUGAGCUCCCAUUGCUCUGUCCCAGCUCUUGCCAACCUAGCAGUUUGAAAGCAUGCCAGUGCGAGUAGAUAAAUAGGUACCACUGCAGCAGUAAGGUAAACGGUGUUUCCAUGUGCUCUGGUUUCCGUCACAGUGUUCCGUUGCACCAGAAGUGGUUUAGUCAUGCUGGCCACAUGAACCGGAAAGCUGUCUGUGGACAAACACCGGCUCCUUCAGCCUGAAAGCAAAAUGAGCGCCGCAACCCCAUAGUCACUUUUGACUGGACUUAACCAUCCAGGGGUCCUUUACCUUUUACCUUAUACACCUUGAUAUCACUUGGAUUAUGAUGGUCAAAUUAGUAUAACACUGACGGUCCACGUAUUGAAUACGAUUUAUCUUUCUAUACUAGAUUCUGCUCAUUCUGGACGUAAAAUGUUGUUUGGCUGUAUACAGAGUCAUUUUCUAACACAACAGGAACUCCAGACAUUGUUGGACUGCACUCCCAUCAUUCUUGACCAUUGGCCACGCUGUUUGGGGUUGGACAGGAGUUGGAGUCCAACAACGUAUGGUAAAUGACAGGUUCCGCAGCUCUGUUCUAAUGGAUAGAACCUUCCUUAAAUAGCAACCCAAGUUUUGGCUAUUUUCAAGAUGUUCUAGAGCUGAAAUGCAAGUUCACAUAAACUCCAACCACCUGCUUGCUUUAUUUCAACAACCCAUGGGUCUGCCACCAUCAUGUCUAAUUAGAGUUAGAGCUUUACAGCUCAGUCAUAUUCUUACUCAUAAGUAAGGCCCACUAUAUUCAAUGGAGCUCUCCCCCAUGUCAUUGUGGCUAGGAUUAAAGCAGAGACAGGGGUCAUGUGGCCCUCCAAAUCUUAAUAGACUCCAACUCUCACUGCUCUCAGCCACAUCUGGAGAGCAGUGGGUUUCCCAUCCCUGUAUUACAGAUUUAGGCCAGCUUUACAUAACUUUGCUUAUAAAAUAAUUCAUCUUAAUGCCCUGUUCUUUUAAAGGCAAUAUACUUAUUUGAGUUACUCAUACACUUACGUCUUUUGUUAAAAUAGUUGGGGGGAGGGCUUCAGAAGUUGUAUGGGUCUUUUAAAAGUGUUUUUUCUGAAUUCUCUAAUCCGGGACAGAAGUUGCAUUUUAUAGUGAAAGAGCAUUUCUUGUUCAAACAUUUCAAAGUCCAGUCUGUUCGUUCAACAUUAUUGCCUCCCACUGGACUACCGUUUAGUUGAAGGAGCAUAGGAAUAGGAACAAGACACUUGCAGACUUCAGAGCUCAAAUGUUCACUGGGAGAGACAAACUGAUGGAAGAGUAUCUGACAGAAACACCCCACAUGAGCAAUGUAAAGGUAAAGGUAAAGGGACCCCUGACCAUUAGGUCCAGUCGUGACCGACUCUGGGGUUGCGGCGCUCAUCUCGCUUUAUUGGCCAAGGGAGCCGGCGUACAGCUUCCAGGUCAUGUGGCCAGCAUGACUAAGCCACUUCUGGUGAACUAGAGCAGCGCAAGGAAACGCCAUUUACCUUCCCGCCAGAGCGGUACUUAUUUAUCUACUUGCACUUUGACAUGCUUUCAAACUGCUAGGUGGGCAGGAGCAGGGACCGAGCAACGGGAGCUCACCCCGUCGCAGGAAUUCGAACCGCCGACCUUCUGAUCGGCAAUUCCUAGGCUCUGUGGUUUAACCCACAGCGCCACCCGCAUCCCACACAAUGAGCAAUGUAGAAGGCUGCUUAUACCACACAAAACCUGCUAACCAUUUCCUAACAAGCAGUUUUUGUUAAACCAAACAGUUAAACCAAAUUUAACCAACCAAUAGACUUGGGGAAUCACUUCAAGUUGGAGGAAAUUGGUUGAGCCGUUUCAGAACUGUGUAACACACACAAAAUUGGACCCAGGCAGCCGACAAUUUGUUGCUUGUGUAUGCGAUUGUGUUGGCUGUGCAUGUUUCAUCUUUUGAUCAUUGAUGUUGCUCAAGCAGUAAAAUUGCAGCAACCAACCAUCACUCUUCUUAAGUUCAUUGUUCAUCAAAGUGUUGCUCAAGAACCCUUGACAGGUGGUUCUCAUUAACUUCAAUGAGAACCCAAUGCAUGCACCAGAAGAACAAAUUUGGUCUCCAGACUCUGCCAGCCUAAAUAUAUAUUAUUUGGUAGGGGCGGUUUGAGAGAGCCAGAGUGUUUUGUUAAAAUAUGUUGAAAAAGACAUGCUGGCAACGUUUUUAGAGAACGCGUCUAUCUGUCGGUGGAACAGUGUAGCUGGAAGAUGUUUAAAUGUACGUCCACACAGAAUGGUUUAAUUUAAGCUGAAGAAUUUAGUGGUCAUCAGUUUGGAACACUUUCCCUGAUGAAUGAGUACCAGGGAGAUUCAAAAAGACAGUGCACAUAAAUUUAACGGAUUCGGGGAAAGAACAAAGAGUUCAAGGAGAAGGUGUUGGAGGGAGACUCAGGUGGUGUCAAGCUGAAGGAAAUGUAUUCUCCUGUUUUCUUUCAAAGAGAGAUCUAGCAGCCAUAACAAAAAGAGAGGGAAUGCUAUAAAAAGUGGGGGGGGGGAGGUUUCUACUAUUGAAAUACAGUGUACCUCUGGUUAAGAACUUAAUUCAUUCCGGAGGUCCGUUCUUAACCUGAAACUGUUCUUAACCUGAGGUACCACUUUAGCUAAUGUGGCCUCCUGCUGCCACUGCACCGCUGCUGCACAAUUUCUGUUCUCAUCCUGAAGCAAAGUUCUUAACCCGAGGUACUAUUUCUGGGUUAGCGGAGUCUGUAACCUGAAGCGUCUGUAACCUGAAGCGUCUGUAACCUGAGGUACCACUGUACUGUUGACUUCUCUUUCUUUUCCUCUCUCCCGGCCUGGACCCCAGUCAACCUCCUAGGACAACGUACAAUAUAUUUUAGAAAGCUGUUUGUCUAAGGUAUCAUAACUGUUUUUUUCAUUAUGGUCCCUGCGAUCAAGGAUCAGCUUUGGGGCAAAGUUUUGAUACAACUGGACACCCUCUUGAACCAAGAUGGCAGACUGAUCCUUUCAAACCUGUGUUGAUAUUUUGGUUUCUUAGACUUCCUGAGCAACGCUGGUUAGGCAGCUGCAAGUAUACUACAAUUCUAGGUAGACGAUCACAUGAUUUGUUCUUCCAUUGCAAGUCCAUAUCCGAUAUAUAAAUCCAAUAAAUCGAGCUGUUUCAAGUUCAUUUUUUUCUACAAGGCAUCUGUUUUUGAAAAUCGAAGUCAGCAAUUGGGGCCGGGGGAGGGAGCGGUGCAAGCAGUUAGUCUUGCCUAGUCACAAAAUAGCCUCAGACUGGAUAAGCCACAGUAAGCCUCAGGCUUGCAUCUUCCCUUAUUACCUUUCCUUGCUCAGCUGUGGCUGUAAGGAGGUGAUUGGAAGCUUUUGAUUCCAUUUUAGAUUAAGCACAAUUUAGCAUGGCAUUCAAGUUCUUAAUUCUGAUUAAUCUUAACCGGGCAUAGGCAAACUCAGCCUUCCAGAUGUUUUGGGACUACAACUCCCAUCAUCCCUAGCUAACAGGACCAGUGGUCAGGGAUGAUGGGGGUUGUAGUCCCAAAACAUCUGGAGGGCCAAGUUUGCCUAUGCCUGAUCUUAACUGUGGGUAGUCUAAACAAGCCAGCCUUCAUAGUUUGAAGUCGCCUUGUUUCCAUUAACCAUCGUUUAAACUAGCCACAGUUUGUUGAGGUUCAGAUGUCAGAACAAGCUGCAGUUCCUGAAGUCCCACUUGCAGAGACACCAGAAGAGAAGCAUGGACAAACGGACAGACUGACAGACAGACACAUCAAUCUAUCAAACUUCUGUGCUAUCAAGUUCUCCCUUUUUGUGUGUUCAGGACCAUGUUGCUCAUGAAUUUGAUACAGGUGUACCUUCCAAAUAGGAAGCUGCAAAGUAGUAUUCCUUUGGGUGGAAAAUAUGCAAGAGUUAUAUAUUACACUGAUAUAUUUAUUAUAUCACAAUCCCUCUUGCUGUCUUACUGUCUGCUUUGAGUGCCAAAGCGUCUGUUAUUUCAUAGAGUUUCCAUAUUUUCACUUUUGAGAAAGUUGUCAGCUGUUCAAAGUCAGAAUUUUCACUGCCCCUCUUUAUCACAGCUGAGCCAGAAAGCAUUUUCUCCAGAUUAUUUGUAGGCCGGAUAUAAGAGCAACUCAAAAGCACCAGUGUUAAGGCAUCAGGUAUGUCGAUAUCAUAUAAUUCACAUUAUCAUUUCAAUAUUAUGUUGACCUGGGCUGCAUCAUAGAGUUCUGGUUUCAGCUCUACAGCACCAUCUGGUGUCACAGUGUUAUAACACAUUUAUAACGUUUUAUUUUUACUAAUGUAGCUGAGUCCCUGUGCUCUGUUCACACAUUACUCAUUUCUAGGACAUAAUUGUGUGGAGUGUGGAGCAAGGACAUGCUUUUAGUCCUGCUUCCAGAGUCUCAUCUCCCCCCUUUCAACAAUUGCAUUAGAUGUGGCUGCCCAUCAUUUGACACCUUCCUCCGGUGGAUCAGGCAGGGUCACUUUUAGUUUUCUGUCUUCUCUCUAGGCCACUCAGCAGAAUAACAGCCAGAGCAAAGGCAACUCUUUCAUCCCAACACCACAACCAUUUGCAAACAUAAAUUCCCAGAAAGACAAAUUUCCAUUUUUAUCAGAUUACAAUUUUUUGUCUAAAAAGGGGGCUCUCUAAAGUAUCUAAAUGUUGGAGAUGCAAUAGGGAUAAUGCUUCUCUAAAACACAUAGUUUUUUUCAUUGUCCUACAUGGAAGGAUUUUUGGCAGAAGGUAACUGAAACCAUCAACAGAACUGUAUGCAACAACCUUACAUUUACAGAGCAAAAUAUCCUCUUGAAUUAUGUGCCCAGUGCAUGGAACCUUACAAAAGGACAAUACGAGCAGACUCUCCGUGCCCUUACCACAGCAAAAAGACUGAUACUGAUGAACUGGAAAUAAAAAUAAAAAUGCGGCUCCCUUCUAUAAUUGGAUUGAAGACUCAUACAAACUCGCAACAUAUGAACAACUUGCAUAUAAACACAGACUUGCCAUGGACAAAUAUUUGGAAUCCAUUCUUACAAAUACUGUGAUAGGUUAAGAUCUGGCGAAGUACAAUAACAACUUUGUAAAAUAUACAGUUUUGGGUGUGUGUGUCCCCCUAUUUUCCCUUCUAUGUGUGUUCAGUUUCUUUUUUUCUUUUUCUCUCUCUUAUUUACGUCUCAUCAUGUUCUGUUGUUGUUUAGUCUUUUAGUCGUGUCCGACUCUUCGUGACCCCAUGGAUCAGAGCACGCCUGGCAUUCGUGUCUUCCAUUGACUCCUGCAGUUUGGUCAGACUCAUGUUGGUAGCUUCGAGAACAUUGUCCAACCACCUCGUCCUCUGUCACCCCCUUCUCCUUGUGCCCUCAAUCUUUCCCAACAUCAGUGUCUUUUCCAAGGAGUCUUCUCUUCUCAUGAGGUGGCCAAAGUAUUGGAGCCUCAGCUUCACGAUCUGUCCUUCCAAUGCGCACUCAGGGCUGAUUUCCUUAAGAAUGGAGAGGUUUGAUCUUCUUGCAGUCCAUGGGACUCUCAAGAGUCUCCUCCAGCACCAUAAUUCAAAAGCAUCAAUUCUUCGGUGAUCAGCCUUCUUUAUGGUCCAGCUCUCACUUCCCUACAUUGAUAAUAGGAAAACCAUAGCUUUAACUAUACGGACCUCUGUCGGCAAGGCGAUGUCUCUGCUUUUUAAGAUGCUGUCAUUGCUUUUCUCCCAAGAAGCAGGCAUCUUUUAAUUACGUGACUGCUGUCACCAUCUGCAGUGAUCAUGGAACCCAAGAAAGUAAAAUCUCUCACUGCCUCCAUUUCUUUCCCUUCUAUUUGCCAGGAGGUGAUGGGCCCAGUGGCCAUGAUCUUCGUUUUUUUGAUGUUGAGCUUCAGACCAUAUUUUGCGCUCUCCUCUUUCACCCUCAUUAAAGGUUCUUUAAUUCCUCUUCACUUUCUGCCAUCAAGGUUCUGUCAUCUGCAUAUCUGAGGUUGUUGAUAUUUCUUCUGGUAAUCUUAAUUCCGCCUUGGGAUUCAUCCAGUCCAGCCUUUUGCGAAAGGCUGAACUCACCAUGUUUAGUGCACAUAUAAUUAAGUACUUUUUGAAUUUUCAGUAAAGAUGUUUGAAAAAAAGGGGGGGACAUUACAAAUUUCCAUUUUUACCAGAUGCUGCUGAAGGACAUGCCUGAUAUCUGGGAUGCAUCAGAGCACAGGUGAGCUUUCUCACCUGUCCCUCCUGGCAAGCAGUCAGCAAUGACUUCACUGCUAGGUCAGGUAAGAGGGUCGCCCACGACUGCACUGUCCCCUGCUGCCCUGUUGUCGCUAUGAAAAGCACCACCUAUUUAGUUCUGCAUAUCAAACUGUGCCAGGGAAGAACAGGUUGGCUGGAACCUCCAUAUAUGAGAUACCUUCCACUUUAAUGGGACACUAAAAAAAAAACCUGCUUCAAAAUGAAGAGGAAAUGUACUAUAAUUUUGCCUCGUGUGCAUUAAUCCUGUUAAGUAGGGCCUCUUAAGGCCUGGUGGAAUUGCACUUUUAUCAAUGAGGGUACUAUGUGACCUUUUUUUUUACAAAUUCCACUGCUGUAGGAAAAGUCUGUUUGCUUUAAAGGCUAGAUUAAGCUAAGGGUCCCCCCCGCCCUGCUUUGCGCACACAGAAAUCACCAUAUUUAGGGAAAUAAAAGUUGGCAUAGUAGAACUAUGGAACCACAACAGUUUUAAAAAUAUUCAGACAGUUGAAGUAUCUCAGAAACUAUUCUUUUAAAUAUGGGCUUCAUUAUUCCAUGCUGCUGGGCUACCUACAGCUGGAGGAAAGAUGUCCAAGGCAGAGUGGAUGGUUCUCAGGGAUCAUAAGUGGUUUUCCAAAAUGAACAUGGGAUUCGUUUUGUGCCUCCUUCCCAGAUUAGAAUUUCAAUGUGCAAACACAUUCCAGGGAUUUGCCAUGAAAUAAGGCUCUCUUCUUAAAUGCCAGGAAACCAAUCAGCAAGCAGAGUCAAGAACUAUCCACAAUUUCAUUCCACACAGCUUCCUGGGGAGCAAUUUAGUGGUCCUCAUUUAUGGACACAUAGGUAACUCAAUUUUGAAAAUGUCUGCUGUUUAUUAUAAAGUUACAUUUACAGGCCACUGUAGCCAUGAGCACUAAGGACAC